CUUGUCUAGUCUAUCUAUCACCUCCUUUCACCUGUCCCUUGAGACCAGUGACACGCAUUUGUGAGCCUGGAGCAGAUUCGAACCCAGCAGACUCAGGGGCCCUGAGACCCAUGAUGCAACAGCUGUGGCC